UACGGGGGGGGCAAGCGUUGUUCGGAAUUACUGGGCGUAAAGCGCACGUAGGCGGCCUACUAAGUCGGGUGUGAAAGCCCUGGGCUCAACCCAGGAAGUGCACUCGAAACUGGUAGGCUUGAGUAUGGAAGAGGGUUGCGGAAUUCCCGGUGUAGAGGUGAAAUUCGUAGAUAUCGGGAGGAACACCAGUGGCGAAGGCGGCAACCUGGGCCAAUACUGACGCUGAGGUGCGAAAGCGUGGGGAGCAAACAGG
rnacentral:rRNA from 1 species